rnacentral:rRNA from 1 species
UGGGGAAUAUUGCACAAUGGGCGCAAGCCUGAUGCAGCCAUGCCGCGUGUGUGAAGAAGGCCUUCGGGUUGUAAAGCACUUUCAGCGAGGAGGAAGGUGGUGAACUUAAUACGUUCAUCAAUUGACGUUACUCGCAGAAGAAGCACCGGCUAACUCCGUGCCAGCAGCCGCGGUAAUACGGAGGGUGCAAGCGUUAUUCGGAAUUAUUGGGGCGUAAAAGGGUGCGUAGGCGGCGUAUUAAGUCAACUGUUAAAACCUCCAGCCUAACUGGAGAUCAGCAGUAGAUACUGGUAUGCUAGAGGAUGGAAGAGAGAAGUGGAAUUCUUGGAGUAGCGGUGGAAUGCGUAGAUCUCAAGAGGAACACCAAUGGCGAAGGCAGCUUCUUGGUCCAUAUCUGACGCUGAUGCACGAAAAGCGUGGGGAGCAAAACAGGAUUAAGAUACCCUGGUAGUCCCACGCCGUAAAACGAUGAUCACUAGAUGUUAAUUCUGCUUGCAG